rnacentral:lncRNA from 1 species
CAAUCGGGUAAGAAUUGAAAGGAUAGGUUUGGUCGGGUGUUCAAGGUGUCGGCUAGCAAGUUUCGGUAAGAGAAAGGCGUCUGAAGAUCGGUUAUUGCAUAGGUAGUGAAUUGUCUUCCGACCCCUCUCAUUCAAAAAGAAGUGUAGCCACUAAUUAGAGCUCCCUUAAGGCAGCGCGAUCCCAUUGGCUUUUAGGGUGAGGGACGAGCUUAAGACCUUUACUGGCCUUUUAAGAAGGAAGAGAAACAAACCAGUAUGUGAUGCCCCUUACACAUCGCAGUAAGGAGGAUCUGGCUAAACCUCUCUCAAAAGUCUCCAAGGCAAAGGUAGUCUAAAGCUAAAGCAUUCUCCUAGCGACCUACACUUUCUUUCCGGCUAACUACAACAUUACUAUGGAUUUUCUCGGCCCUACUUUCACCAAACUGUGCUUCCAAUCAAUUUCGAUAAGCUAAUCUACUUUCCAUAUUCUUCCCCCUCUGCAUCGAUGGGUUUUCCACUCGAGAUGGGUUUUUUAGAGAUAGGAGAAUUCCCAGACUGAAUGAAAAAAAGGGGGGUAGCUGAACCGGUGGCUUCCGAAGCGAAGCGUGUUGGCAAGACGUGCGAUCUAUUUGCAGCACGGGCAUAGUUUCAUUCUCCUUGUUGGGAAUCUCAGUCGCGAAGUAUAAGGUGGAAUAUUGGAUCCUGAAUGAUGAGGAGAAGCGCAUAUAGUAAGCGGUGAAGAGAAGCGCGCCAUAUAGUAAGCAAUCCGAAGAAAAGAAGAGAGUCGAUCGCUCUAACCGAAGAUGAUCGAGUAGGCAAAGUGAACUAAGGCUGAACUAAGUGCUUUUCCUUCAUUUCUUUUCUCGCGUCAACGUUCACCACUUCUUUUGGUGUAAGCAAGGCCUUAGUCUUCUCCGCUAAGUGCUUUCGCUUCUGUUCAUGCCUUUGAUGAGGCCCACCCGGCUCGAAGUCCGUGACCUAGAAAUUCGAUGCUGUGCACUAUUGCCAUAUCCUGGCUACCCGGGCCUUCACCUAGUACCGAGGGUGGAAAGCAGGCUGUCAAAAGAGAGAACUAGGUUGUAAGAAAGAAAGCUUAGUGCAGCGCCAAGUGCCUCGCUAGUGGAGCUAUAGGCGCUAAAGAAGCGGAUAAGGAAUCAGUUUCUUUAGUCAAAGAGUGAGAACUCCCUAACGGAGCUCAAUCUUCUUUUCGAUUCGACGAAAUGAACCGUAAGCCUUCUAGCCCCUUGUUCUUGAAUAUAGUUAGUUCUCUGUAACUAAUCUGGGUUGGAUUAAUAGGAUAGGAAUUCGGGGACUUGAUUCUUAAUUCGCAAGAGCUCCAUUCUAUACUAUUGUUUGAAAGAAUAGAAUAUUGUAUUGGGUUUUCAACGCUACUCCACUUCUUUUUGUCGAAAUGUAAAAGCUGCACAGGAUAGGGAGGCCGCCCCGUCCUCAAAGGAAAAGCAUGGAGAUCCACUCGAUUAUGGAAUGGUGUUAUGUUUUAUCGCUCAAUAAGGAGUACCUUUGUAUAUAUAAAUGUUUUGCUAAAGUGGUUGGUUCUUUUUAAGGCGGAAAGCAAGUCGAGACAAGAAGCACUGUCUCAGAAGCUAGCCCGAGCUACUGUAAUCCUUUGAUUUGAUAUGUAUGAGUGUACUGGUCCGGUGUUUCUGAAAAAAGAGAUGGAUGGGUUUUUUGGUGGCUGCGGUAGCCUUAACCAUCUGCACAGCUUUCCUCAUACUUCAAACAUUAAGGCAGAGAGAGUGAGUUUAGGAUAUAGUUUCAGAGAAAAGCGAGAGUGGAUGGAUAGGCAUAAUCAGAGGCAAGAGCUCUUCAGUAAUAAAAUCCGGGUGAGCGCACACAGCACAACUCCCCUUUUGGAUCAUUUCAGACUAGGCCAUAUAUUCAUUGAAAGGCAAAGCUAGACCAUGCAUUAUUGUUAGGGUAAAGAACCUGCGCCGACACUAAUCGCCCUAUACUUGCUACGCCUGCUUCGCUACUGAGAUCCCUAAACCAACCAACCGAGUUUGGUCUUGCUAUCACUUUUGAGGUUUCGAGACUUUAUCGCGUAUAGACGUUAUGCGCUUUCCCGCUCGACUCGCACAUAUCGAUUUACGUCCUAUUUCUUUUAUCCCUGCUGGCUCGAACUACUUUAGGAUUCCCUGUGCCCCUACUUUACAAGCACUUUAGGAUUCCCUGUGCCCCUACUUCACUUAAUAAGUCGUUUACGGAUUUCAAGAUACACAAGGAAGCGGAUCUACCUGCACGUCCGAAAGGAACCAAGAUCAAAAGAUGCGUCAUCGAGACCUGAAGACACCCGAGGAACGACUAUUCAAGACCACGCAGACCGACCUUUUGUUAGAGAAGAAGAGAGAGGCACGCUAGUGACAAGUAUCCCCACAGCAGCAACCUCUGAUCAAUCCGGGAAAGCGUCGCCCCUAGGGUUGGUGCGUGCUACACAGACUAGGAUAGUUACCGUAGCGAGCCGGCUAGACCGCACAGCUCCAAGCAAGUGGAUAACAGACGAGAGAUAUUGUCCUAACCCUGUUACCAGCCUUGUCCGUUUUAUGGUAGAGUUGUAUACCAAGAACGAAACCAAUCUCCAGCCAAGCAACGUAGUUAGACCAAGUCACUUAAUAAUUAGAAUAAUAAGAUCAAGAUGAGAAAGAGCCAAGCAACGUAAACAAAGGAAGAAAAGCAGACAAUAGAAUUCCACACUACUCUAUUCUUUUCCACACUACUCUAUUAUUCGACUUAUAUACUUACUGACUCAAAAUAGUAAAGGAGAGUUUCUAGUAUCUGUAUAAGAUGAAACUCCUAACAGAGAGCCAGCAGCUUGUUGAAAGAAGCCGAACACUCGCGGAUGAAACAAGGGUCGAUUACAUUGAGCUAUAACUGAAAGAGGAGACUAGGAUGAAACUAGGGAGAAAACAGGAAGAGCCGCAUAAGGUAGAGAAUUCCACUCCCGAACACAGGAGCAGACCCACUUUCCUACUCGCUCACCUCGCCUACGAGCUCACCUGGCGCAACUCUAACAUCAAUUUCAUCUUUUACUCAUUCACACCUCGUUUCAAACUUAUCGGCAUCCCGAGUGGAAUCUGUGUUUGUUGCUUUUGUCUAUAAGUAAUCAAGGAGAGUUUCGACAAUCAAAUCUUCUGCUUUGGCUUCUUCGUUCGAUAGAUUCAAUGUAAGUAUUUGUUGACUUCAGAUCCACUGUAAAGGCUUACACCCGUAGCUCGCGAGUUGCGUUAGGGCGUAGCUUGUUCCCUUUCUUGUUGCAUUCAUAUAAUCUAGCUUUACUCAUAUUAUAAUCUAGCUUGACUCAUAUAGAAUUAUGUAAACUCACUGGAUUGCUUCCGUAGCUUUUUCCCUUUCUUGUUCCGCAGCUUAUUCACUGUAAACUAUUCACUUACUACUAUCUAAAUAUAAGAUAUAUAUACUUGAGUAACCAUACUUCUGACUCCCAUAAGCGUUAGCGCCCCAUAAGAAAAGGGUACCUAGCGCCAGGUGCUCGAGUAAGAUCAGAAUGGAAUGUUAGAUGCUCCACUACUGAAGUCAUUACCAAGUCCUGUGUUUGGAAACUCAUAAUAUCUUUAUAGAAGAGAGUAAUUCAACCUACUCUCCAUCUGUGAUGAAACCGACUCUCCUGUACAAUCGACCCGGGUUAAGUGAAGGGCGGAAUGUAUUACUGGCAAAGAAGGGUAGCGCGGCGGUACACUUAAAUCUUGAUAGCCCAACUCAAUAAGCGGUCUACCUCAGUAUUGUUCCAGAAGCCGAAUGCAAGUAAACGGUGCACUUUUUCAUUGUUCUAUCGCCUAUAAUGUCAUUUGCCUAUUAUGUCUUGAACCUUACAACUGGCUCCGUUCUAUCUAUUACUGCUAAUGCUGCUGAUGCUUACUCUGUUGUGCUUGUUGAGUCAGUUAGCUUGAGCUUCAAGUCAGGAGUCAGUUAUGAGUCAGUUACUAGACCACCGAUUGCCCGAUAGAAGUCACUUUCCACUGAUUCCCUGUGCCUAGGUAUAAGACUCGGAAUUGCACUCAUAAGUCACAGCCUUGGUAUCAAUAGGUAUGGUCGGACUGAUCUGUUAGGUACGAGGUCAUAGGUGUAUAGGUAUGGGAGAGUAUCUAGUAUAACCCAUGUGUCUAGUUUAGGGGUAGGUUCGGGUGGUGAAGCGAGUAGUUAAAUAAAAGAAAUGGGAAGAUCUGAGAAAAACAAUCACUGAGAAAGAACAGCCAAGACACUACUCAUGUGUCGCGGCAGAGUUGCUAGUUUCCAGAAAAGUAGUUCGAAAUUACUACCCUUUUCCAGUACUCACUCAGUAUACAAACAGUAACAAAAAAGCACUAUCCAAAUCUAUCUUCUUUAUAUAGGAUGACUGCUCCUCAGCCUGAAACAAGGUAGUCAAAGAACCAAACAAGUGAAAAAGAAGCAGUUCUCAAGGUUAGGGUUAGGGUGAUUCCGAGUGUCGGCGUUGCGGGCAGGGAAGAAAUCAAUCCAUUGUUGCUAAUGUUGCUAGGGGAAUAAAACGACUGUUGCUAAGGUUUCUCCCUACUACUGGCUUGUUGAAGUCAGUUACUAGACCACCGAUUACCCCAGUAGUGAAUUACAGAGUGAAACCAGUGCAUCACAGAAUCAAACCACCAGGGCCCCUAACUCGCUACCGUUUAGCUCGGGCUCCUACCGCUGAAAACAUAGACUGUAAUAACUUCGUUAUGACUAUUAUUGGGCUGCCGCUACACAUUUGUAGUUACUUGGCCAGGUCAUCAAGGGGAGUUCAAGAAUCCGUUGUCAGAGUUUCAUCCCAUCCCGGUAGUCCAGGUAGUCCCGGUGAAAAGAAAUGAGAAAAUGAAAAUAAACCAGGUGAAAAGAAAUGAGAAAUCACAAAUAAACCAGGUGAAAAGAAAUGAUCAAAUGAAGCCAAGUAACUACUAAUGUGUAGCGGCAGUAACGAACACUAAUGUCUUCAAAGCAAGUACUUGAUUCUGAAACUGACUAGAAGGGCCUACCUCGAAUAAGUGUUAACCCCGACCCGAACUCUACCUGUUGAACCGCGUGAAUCCCGGUCGCCAACUCAUUCCCUUAUGGCUUCAAAGCAAGUACUUUAUGAUUCCACAAUAACUCUCCGGGCCAAGUAAGUACUAACCUAUCUUGAUGCCGAUAUAAAUAAGCCUUCUUGCCUUAUCUGUUAGGUACUCCAAUAGGUACUUCGGUAUUCAAACGAAGCAUCUUAUUCCAAUUCAGGUAAUAGAAAUAGAAUAAUACAGAGAGGGGAGCCCCUAUAUAACAUAGAAUCAUAAAGAAUCCCCUAUAUAACAUAGAAGAAGAAAGCCCCUAUAUAACAUAGAAUCAUAAAGAAAAGGAUCCCCCAUGGACCUAGUAAUCAAUAACUUCAGCAUUAGAAUAGUCGUUUUUGUUUCUGAAAGUCCAAGAUUAGUGCCUGGUUUCCUUGUAAACUCAAGUACUGGCUUGGCUUGUACUAGUUUCUUGUUCCUCACAACACUGAAGAAUAGAGUGGAGUGUCCACCUCCUACCUAUAGAAUGGAGUAACCUAACAACCAACCCUUUCCCUAAAACACUUGCUCAUUGCUAUUACUAUUACUCUCAUUGCUAUUACUAUUCUCAUGGCUAUUACUAUUACAAUUAUCAUUACUAUUACUCUCAUUGCUAUUACUAUUCCAAUUAUAGUACUAAAUUAGAUAAUUGCCCGUAGCUUGUUCCUGCUAAUGUACCUUGUCCCUAAAACUACAGAAUUGAACCAACCCAUACAUCUAAUGUUUUCUUUACCGCGGACUUUCUUUCAGCUUCUUUAUAUCAUAUUCCUUCUAUAAACUUGAAUCACUCAUAUUGACACCUUGAUCUCGGCUCUUCCCUAGGGUUAUAUAUUGACACCUUGAUGUCAGCUCUUCGCCACCUAGGUAUUCUUUUCAAGUGAACAAACAAGCCUACAGAGUGUUCAAGUAUAAAGUAAGAGUAUCGAGUGUAAUAAAGAAGCGAGAGUUCAAGCAGGGCUCGGGUCUCUGGCGCAAAAGGAUCCUGAAAUGCAAGCCUCAUGUUCUCUGGCGCUAAAGGGGUAUACAAUGGUCUCUGGGAGUGGUCCAGACUUAUAUACGCGGAAGUCCAACUUUUGCACUGAAGCAAGUCUUGGUUUCGGCAGUUUUGGGGGCGUAGUGGAACAUAGGUCAGUAGACGCAAGGAGGUAUACAAUGGUUUCCGUUAAGGCAAGGUAGUUCCGUUAUGGGCUUUCCCUAUCCCUAAUAGUGCUUAGCUUAGCCGAGCGAGUCAAUCAAACUCUCAUUCAUGAAUGUGACUCUUCGAUUUCUAGUGGAGCGCAUAAGUCAGAAAGGAUUUAAGUGCGGAAGAUCUGAUUGCUUGUUAUGAUGCUAUCUAUCUGAGGAAUGCCCCAUAACCAUAACCUCUAAACUCAACUGGAAUUUGAAGACCCGACAACAAGGAAGACGGAUUGCAAUUCUUAGUACGAUGAAACUCGAACAGGAAACCGAGUAUGAAGUACAACGCGGGCUCAACCAACACCUAUCUUUCUCUAACUCGGGUCAACUCCUCUUUAUGGUCAACACUUGAAUCACUCAUUGCCUUUCUUUUACUUCCAGCCUACAAGGACUUUCCAAGGAGGAGAUUUUGCUUCUUUCUCUAUAGAAUCCAAUUCUCACCCAACUCUAAUAAACGCUUGCUUUGACUUAGCGCUUUAUACAGUUCCUUGAUACAACACCUCAGCAUGAGAAAAGAGAUGAUCUUCCUGAUUCUAUAUAGGAAUAGGAUGAAACUGGCGCCUCGUAUACAAAGACUUGAACUUCCGUGGACUCUACGGAUCUCGCUGCUGCACUUAUCAGAAAUACUUCCUUCAUACUCGUAUCUCUUUGCUUUCUCGAACUCCCUAUGAUCCGUGUGCUGUGCCUAAGUUAACUCCAUUCAAUUCAUUAGAGCGAGCAGUAAACAGUGAAGAGCCAGCAAUAACAGGUAAGGAAGCAAGGGAACAAGCAAACAGUGACAAACAUCUCCGUAUUAGUAGACUCGGGGCAAUAUUCGAUUAUUGCAUUCCUAUCUAGCACUAUAUUCCAUUUGGUAGUCAAAAAGUGGUCCAAGUCACUUUGUAGCACAGUCGACUCAGGUACUAUUUUCCCUCUUCCUCCCAAGAUCAAGGUCACAUAUACUUUUGGGUACCAAGGCACAUGACCGAAAUCCAGAGGUUUGGGUCUGCCCUUGUGCUCUUUCAAGCGUAGAAAGUCAGAAAGAGGUGUCUGGUCUAUCAGUCCACAUGUCGAUCGCAGAGCCCACAUUUCUAUGCUCCUUCCCUUCCUACUGGAGAUUAUUUGAUUUUAGCAAAGAGCGAAAAGAAAAGGGUGAAAUAAAAGGAUUAGACUAUUGAUUUCGAAAGGAUCCCACGGCUAACGAGAAUUCCGCCUUAUUUCCUUGAACCUCGAUUAUGGCCUUCUCAAGCGCACUCAAGUAUAGUAUGGUGCUUGUUACUUUGCUUUAAGAAUGGAAUGGAAAUCGAAUAGUAUAUAUAGAAUAGUGAGUAAACAACACUGCUAACCUUAUUAUUGCUUGAAUACACACCUCACACUUGUGGAACGAAGGCACCCCGACACCCCCAAGAGUAAGCUAACGCUUAAGUAACAUAGUGGAAAUUCAAGUAUACAAUAGGCUUCCUUAAUUACUAAUAUCGGUGCUGGUUGCUCUGAUUGAAGCUUGAGUUUGCUAGCUCGAUGAACUAAUUAAGACACACCUCUCGUUGGUAACUACACUCCCAUUACAGCAUGUUCUUGCGAAAGGGCUUGUUGAAAAGAAGAGAGCUAUCAGGGCUUGUUGAAAAGAAGAGAGCAUUCCACCACAUAUAGAUAUUGAGUCAAAAACGGAUGGGAUUACAAGAGAGUAGCAGGUUUGAGUUAAGCUUACGAGAGUUCUUUCCUUUCGCACCCCGCCUGAACACAAAUAGCGUUAGUGCCCCGAGAGUUAUAGGUGUUCUGUUACUAAUGACAGAAGUCAAUAAGAAUGACAGAAGUCAAUGAGAAAGAGAGAGAGCUUGGGGCAGAAUCCCGAUUAACGUAAGCUGCUUGAUAUGGCAUUCCUUGGUUAUGGGCGGGCGAGUUCCAUUCAUUAUUGGAAUUCUGUGUUUUCCUUUACCCUAUACAGAACGUGAGAAGUCAAAGUAUUCGUUACUUGUUGCGGGAAGUACUUAAGCAGGAUCUGUGCGAGAGGGUGCACUCCAUAUGUAUUUACUAUCUUAUUAUAUACCAAAGUUGGGGUUCGACUGCCUACAUACCUUCGUUCGGUAGCUCUCUCCUCUCUUGAAAGUUGGAAUUCAAGAAUUUGUUGACUUAUAGGGCGCUUCUUUUCUCGGCACAGCUUUGAUUCUUCUUAUACUGAUUGAUUCUUCUCUAAACUAGAAAGAAAGAUAAGAUAAUCUAUACUAUACUCUGCCUCUGUGUCCUUAUUUACUUAUUUAGUUGAUGCUACCUAACUCCAAAACUCACUGUGAACUUUAGCGCCCAGAGCCUUCCUUUUGGCCAGGACUCGGUAACCACUGUUACUAACAUCAUUUCAUUGAACUUCCAAAUCGAAACUCCCUUCCCGAUACGAUAGCACUAAGUCUUGCUUGAUUCCUUUGCAAGCAUCCUAACAUUGAGGACAAAGCGUGACAAGCGGUAGGGCUGCUCUUCUACUCUUUAUGGUAAUUUCUCAUUGAAGACCAAAAAAGCGAUUUAGCGCAUUUAUUCUUACAUAGAAAGAUCCUUUGCCAACAACAAGAAAAGUGAACUAUAUUAAUGACUGUGUGAAGCAACAGGUGUACCUGAGGAGGAGGUUGCAGAUGCUAGUUAGUCUUCCCUCAUAAGGAAUAAACCUAAUCCUAGGAUGGAGCUAGGCAAGGCAUGAUAGAAUAAGUAGGUUACUGACCUUAGUGCCCAUUAGUAUAGGAGUAGCGGGUUGACUUCCUUUAAUUACUAGUUUCAGUAUUUUAUGACUUUGUUCAAUUCUGUAACUCGCACACAAACCUAUCUCUACCAGUUCUUGCCUGCCGCUAGUGUUCCCGUUGAUCAUUUCAUAAUUUAUGUUCAUAGCUUUGUCUAGAUUAUUUAGUAACACAGUAUACUCCUUCGCUUUAAAGGGAGCCGGUAGCGCUUGAGCUAUAAAGGUACUUGAGCAAUAAGAUACUUGAGCAACAGAGGGAGUUGAGGAUAGAAAUGUUUCACAUUCCCAGUAAGGAGAUAGAUUUCACAUUCCUAGUAAGGAGAUAGAGUGGAAUCAAUAGUGUAAUUUGAAGUGGGUGAUUCUGAAGCUAAUGCUAUUGGGGUUGAAUCUAAUCUAUAAAGGUAAGGUCGACAAAAGCCAAUGGAAGGGAUGGUGUUAGUAUAGAAAGAUUGUAAUCAGAGUCAGUCCUGUUUUCGGGUGUUCGAUAAAUACUUUAUAUGGGGUUUGGUAGGCAUUGAAGGCAGUAGGACCGGUUUCAAGUCAAGGAAUACGGAAUGCAGGGAAGCAGUGCCAAGCCGGAAGGGGGGAUAGUCGCCCUUAUAUUAAGUCGUUGGUGACGAGAGAGGAUCUUUUCGAAUGCGUGCAUCAAGUGAGCUCUACGGUAUUAAGUAUACAAUAAAUAUGGAGUUUGUUUGGAGUUUCAGAUUGUUACUAAUGCGCUAGGAGGAGAGGUGUAGUUGCCAGCUGCCAGUGGAAUACCGAGCCCUUCAUUAGUUGUUGAAUCCUGAGUUGACGAGUUGAGGCCCUUAUAGUCAGUUUGUUUGACUUCCAGUUUCAUCCCUAGUGGAAUCCCUAGUUCCUGUUCGAAAGUAAGGUUAUUACCGAUAUGACCGAAAUCACUCACAUAAGAAUCCACUUCUGGAACUAGCCCGCUUGCAGCCCAACUUAGAAAUACCAGUGCUAGAUUCUUGAAUCACUCUCGAGAAAGGCCGUCUUUGAUAAGAUCGUAGAUAUCAUAAAUGACCAAUCGACUUUCUCCACAUUGGGCAUCUUAUCUCUACAUUCAAUAAAACCUGACAAUGGAGACUAUGCUCAAGGGGUAUUAUGGACUUCGCUCUUACCCUUUCCUUUCCCUUUCCCGCUCUUGAACUAACCAGCCUUACAGUAAUGAAUGAUCCUUAUCCUUUAUCUAGACUUUCUUUUCUGCACGGAAUAAAGGAAUAGGAGAUGUAUCUAAGUUGAAGUAAGGGACAUUCAUAUACCCUAAGAUGUACCUCAAGAAAUAGAAAAGAAGAAUUCAAACCCAGAUAAGCACUGUUACAUACUACAAAAGAGAGGGACCGUGAUAUCUCUGUGGGGACAAUGAUAUACUAGAAUUCUUGACAACUCCCCAGACCAUAAGGAAUAAGGAAAGAAAGAAGAGGUUGAUAAGCGAUCCACGGUCUUAUCUACCCAGGGAGCAGAGAGAGAGAGCCUAUACGUAUGCCCACUGGUAACACAUAGACCUAUUUCCCAUACAUACCCUGACACCUCUAUCCUAUUUCCAAUACCAUAUCCUUACACCUCUAUUCAUUUAUUUUUGUAAAAUCAGGAUUCUAUGACUUCCCAAUGAAAUUAGGCAUCCUAUAUGGAAAUGAGAGUUUGACCUUAUGUACUUGACGUAGCGGGUAGUACUUCGGUCAAGGAGCUCCGCGGAUUGGAUUGCCUUCAAAGACCUACUGCUGCUUGACUCUCUAAGUAAUCUCUUGCGUCCUCGAAUACCACACUUCUUUCCUUCGGGCGUGGUAGUGACUUGUCUGUUCAUAACUCUAAAAAACGUUACUUGGUCACAACUGAAAGCCGUUAACUGCUUUUCGGAUGACUUAUCCUUCUAAUGGAGUAUAUCUCAUGUGCUUUUGUCCACUUUCCUCCCGAAACAAGCUUGCUAGAUCGAUUUUAUUAGCGAGAUUUUCGUGCACUAUCAUAUGCGCUUCCUUAUUUCUCACAGAAACUGUUAUAGGUGAACGUAGGUUUUUCCUUGUUUCCUGCAACGCCAUAACGAAUCCCUGCGAGAGGCCAUACUGGGUUGAUACCGAUCAGUAAGGAGCAGACAAGACGUCUGUGAUGUGAUUCCGGGUCGACAGGUGGCAGAUGGCUGUUAGUUGUAACAAUUAACGGCUUGGAUCGGGUACCCUUUCCACGUUCAGUUUAGGCAACAGUGGCUCCAUACUGCAGAUAACCCAAAGAGGAGAUGCUUUACCCAGGAGAAAGGGAAAGAUAGAGAGAGGCUCGGGUUAGUUAAGAGUCUUAAAGGUUGGUUGGCUAUUCUCAAUCAGAGAAAGGGAAAGAGAGAAGCUCGGGUUAGUUAAGAGUCUUAAAGGUUGGUUGGUUGUUUGGCUAUUCUCAAUCAUCUUUCUUAUUAAUCAAGUGGUGGGAAAAGAUGUAUUCUGUACACGAUAAGACGGAUGCUAGCUUUUUCUUAGGGGGGUAAGGUACCGCUUGCUUCUCCGAGUUGGAGGAGAGCAAACAAUCAAGCUACUUCCUGUGACUCACCUUAGUGGAAAUUCUUUUCUAUAUUAUAUAUAGGGAAAUUCUUUUCUAUAUUCUAUAGGGAAAUUCCUUUCUAUAUUCUAUAGGAUUUGGAUGUUACCCUAUUCUUAGCCUAUGGGAGAAGAAAGACUGGGUAUCUGAGCGCCCCAGUGUGGUCUGGUCUUAUAAUGGUUAUAUGUCUUAUUCUGAAAGGUAUGCCUCCGCCCUGUAUCAACAAUUCGAGGAAGGUAUGCCUCCGCCCUGUAUCAACAAUUCGAGGCCUUCAAUAAAAGAUAUUAUGCCUGGGGUUGGGCUUAGUUCACAUGUUCUUGCGACGUUCGCAUUCUUUAUUAUGGUUUUAGGGUAUGUUGCAAACAAUCAAAAUAGACUAGCCCUAGUGACGAUAUCCUUUGCUUAUUGUAUUCAUAGCUCUUGACUUAAGGAGCUGUAAGUUGCUAACCUAUUUCGGGGCGGGGCGUGCCGUAGUCUGACUUUUACUAAUAUUCGUUUCUAUAGCAGUCUAAUUAAGAUGUCACUGGUUCCAGGUUGCUUAGGACUGUUAGGUUUAUAGUCCUUCUUUAGUUACCUCCCCCUAUUUAUCUAUAAAAGAUCAAAUCCCAUUUCCUUCCAGAUUACUAACUCUAUUAGAAAUUGUUUAACAUAUUACUAACUCUAUUAGAAAUUGUUUAGUAGUAUCCGUUGAGUCAUUCGCAAAAGCAGCUCUUUAAAAAGCACCAAACAUAGUCUCAAGAAAGGGUACUGUGGAAUCAGCGGUUUCUUUCAUUCGCUGAAACAACGAGAAUAGAUAUAAGAAUCCGAUAGAUCACCACGGGCAUCAUCCUAAGAAGCUACGCCUACUAGGGCUGCUCUUUCCCUCUCAAUAGGAACCUAAGGAAUAGGAAUGAUUCCCUGAAGCCGAGGUCGAACUCACCUAUACUGUUUAUCCCCAAACAACUGAUUUCAAGGAGCCCUAUCAAAAGGAAUGCCUAUCAUCAGUUGCAUAUGGUCAUCUGUUAGUUGUUUGAUAAUCCCUGUAGUUUGACUCUUGUCUAGCUCCUAAAGCCCUCAAAUAAUAGGCAAGAUUGCACAUCGUAGUAUAAGUGUGCUUUCUUUGCGCUCUUCCUAUCCUUCUAGCACGAAAGCACAUCCUUUCUUAAAACAACCUAUAUGAUUCAAUAAGAACCAAAUCCAUUCUAUACAAGGAAGGGCUCGAUAACAGACGCCGGAGUUUAGCAUUCUAUUCUGUCUUCUCUUUCUAUAGGAGAAAAGUCCACUUUCAUUGCUGCUCCACUGAUCUUACUUGCGCCUAAGCAUUCAAUUAACGAUUCCACUCGAACAGUGAAUUUAUUAACUGUAUGCCGAUAUAGGAAUGGAGCAGAAACUCCUUACAGAGACAGAAUGCGAAUGUACCUUUGUCUUUAUGCGAAAGUAUGGAGUGAGUCAGUUCAGUAAAGUAGAAGUUCAGAGCAGCAUGGCGAUGUUCUUUGUUCUGCGCUCCACUCUAAAUCAGGUGUGAAAGUAGAAAUAGGUGAUUAUGUUGUAGUAGAGUCAUAGAGGGUAGAAGCCGAAUCAAAGUAUAAGUGCGAAUGCCCACUUAACGCUUAAGCAGUGUUGUCUCUGUCUGUUGCGACUUCAUAUUUCGGUUCUGUCCUGAAGUAGAGUGAUGUUCGAACCUGAAGACGAGUUCUGUUCUAAAGUAAUCCGUUGCGAGUGUAAUCGAAGUGUUGGGCUUGUGUUGUCGGGUCUUCAAAUGCAAGUGUAGUUCCAGCAGAAGAUGGGGAAGGAGAAGAGGCUAAAGCUGGAGUCGGAGUAGGAGCUGGUGAGGAAUGCAUUUUUCGCAAUAAGUGGAACUCGACAAGCUACAGAGGAAUUAUUGCUACCCCCUAGGUAUGAUAGAGAGAAGUGACCAACCAUGUGACCUGUGUUCUGAAAAGUAUUAUACCCACUAUCGUGAUACAGAAUUUCAUAAUGGAGAAAACUGGACUUGCUAUGAGUUCACAAACACAGCACUUGCUCAUUUUAUUGAGUUCCUUACGGGUUUUGCCUUUGUAGUAGUUGCUUGGCCCUUACUUACUAUAUUCUAUUGGAUUGUAUUUCAUUUAUCCAGGUCCUGCAGGCAGCUAUUUCUCGGGAUUAUAGAGGUCCAGCAGCUAUUUCUCGGGAUUAUAGAGGUGUCCUGAGUGCAUGUGCUCUUAGCCUUUUCAAUCAAGCUUUCUUCUUUGCUUAAAUGUUGGGUUAUGGCCAUUUCAAUGUCUCAUGCAAAAGGUUGGCAUGACCCGACAACAAUACUAUCUUGAAAGUUCUUCCAUGGCAGCCAUUGCUUGUUUCCAAAAUCCUAACUAUCAACCUCCCUGGAGCAUAUGCACUCGUUGGCUUAACUUCAUUCUUUUCUUUAUCUAUGCUUAAUGAUUUUCGACUCCUUUGACUUAUUAGGGAAGGGAAUAUGGCUGCGGACUCUUUGUUUGGCCAAUCGAGGGUUGCAGUAUAAUAUACAAUGGUUUGGUGCCCCCCAGGUCCGAAGCGAGAGUCCAAGCCCUUUUCUAUCAGGCGAGCAACUACUAUAAUAGCCUUAUUGGAUUUCCUUAUUAUCAGUACUCUUCUCUCUUUUUGUAAAAGCAAAUUGUAACUAGUCGUCAUCUGUUUAGUGGUUAGGCUUAUUACGUCCUUCCCUGGCUAGGUUAACAAUUCCGUUUCUUAUCUAUUUUUUGGCCUUCUACAUUUCAUACUAAGAAACGUCCAGAAUCAACUCUCUGCCUGCUUUUGAAGCUGCUUGCCGGCACAAAGAGAGUGUAUGUUUUUGAUUGAAUCCAAUCCACUUAUGAUUCUCGCAUCGUCGAUAGCUAUAGAUUUCUAAGGAUUUAGUAAUGCUCUUCACGUCUAUAUCUUGCAUCCUUGUAUCCCUACUUGCUCUUUACGUCUUUAUCCUGCAUCCUUGUAUCCCUAGAGAUAGAUAUUGCAAUAGUAGUAGCUAAUACAAUGCUCUCUUACUUGCCCUCUAAACGACCGCUUGCUUACUUCUCAUUUUCCUAUUGAAUUCAAAGGGAAAGAACAUAGGAACGAAGGAAAAGAAAGGGAAAGAACAUAGGAACGAAGGAAAAGCGUCCCUUGUAGAAUACUGUAUAGGGUCAAAGGUCUUCUAAACCGAUUCAGGAUAGGAGAGACCAAGAAGAGACCAGCCCGAGAGCAAUGCCAAGUCUAAGUCCAAUCAAUCAGUAGUCCGCUCAUUCAUCUAGUAGGAAACAGUUCUUCCUUAACAACAUUACUAGUUAACAUUUACAAAGGUCUUGGACAAGGUGCUACCUAGGACUUCUCGAACAAAACGGAGAAGGCUUUCUAGGGAGUUGGGUGAUAAGAGUGAACGUUUUCUUUUCUUUCCGUAUGGGAAGGCACAAGUUAGUAAGAGGGAAGCAAGACGGGACCAAGUACCACCAUCUUUGGUACUCACACUAUCAAAUCCCUUCCCUUAACAAAAGUAGUAUAGACCGCAUCUAGGGCUUCUCUUUAUUGCGGAACCGCAGGAGCUGGCUUAUUAUGGCAUUAGCCAGAGAUGUUUUAGUUAUGAUCUGCUUGAGCGAGAGUUCCGGAACUAUAAGGAUGAAACACUUUUUCCGCGGGCUUCAGCUGAUCUAAAAAGAAAAGAAAGGCAGAAGCGUCUCCACUAAUUGGACUUCGUUGAGUAAGUCCUGUGCUAUGCAAUGGAAAGCCCACACAAGCAACACAAGCCACCCAUAGUAUAACGGGCCAGAUUCUUAGAUAGCCGUUACCGUUCACUAGCUUCGGGAGAGGAGAUAUAGUCGAGCUACAGUCAAAUGCGAAGGUAGCGCGCUACAAGGUAUGUGGAUAGCAUUAUACCUUCGGCUCAUUUUUCAUUGAAGUAAGUUAGUUCGCAUUAAUAAAUGUCUUCGGUCUUGAUGACCCCAAUCACUAUACGUUCCCAAAGCUCACUUCACUCUUCAGUAAAGGGGCCUUCUCGUAUUCUAUUUAUGGAGGAGGACGUAACCAAAGCACAGUAGCUAAAUCAUCUUAAACAAAAGGAAGGAUGCUCAAUGCAAUCAAUGCGACGUUCGGGAGGCCAAACACAUACACGACUUCACUUCAUCCUAAACAAAAGGAAGGAUGCUCAAUGCAAUCAAUGCGACGCAACCAACCUUGAGUCUUCUUUUUCUUAAUAGGUAGGGAGCAGUGGAGCUUCCUUUAGAGCGAUAAGCCUGUGCAAUGUCAUAUAAUUUGAUCAUGGAAUUGGUCAACGCUUCGAUACUUCCAACUCUUCUUCCUAGAAUCAACUCUGAUCAACAAAGCGGAUUUGUCGAUGGAAGAAAGACAGAUAUUUCUUUAUUGGAAAGAGGGUCUUGCUGCAAUCCAUUAAUUGGGUGCAGUGCACACUUCAUGAAGGUCUAAGGUGGGAGCAAUUUCAAGGCGGAUAUAGAAUAGGCAUUUGACAAAAGCCGAUCUGGACGGACUUCUUAUGAGAAAGUUAUGGCAGACUUCUCUUUUGCAGAAGACUGGAAUCACCCUACCUAAUAGAAGAAUGCACCAAGAAGGUCUCCUUUUCAUUUGGAGUCAAUAGUAUGGAGGCUUUCUUUUACAAAGUUCCAGCAGGGCAAGGCAAGGCGAUCCGUUAUCUCCAUCUCCCAUUGGAUUAAGUAUUGCUUAAGAAGCUCCGAGGUUUCUAACAUCUGAGGAAAAUCCCAUUUCUAAGUGAUUCAUUCAAGGUGCUGAAAGCCUCUAGUUUUCGUUUAAUAUAAAUGCAGAUGCUGUUCUUUUGCCGUGCAGAUAAAGCCUCGUGAUAAUGCGACUUUCUUUAUUGGAGCAGUAUAGUCAAGCUUCGGGUCAACUUAUCAAUAAAUGCAAGAGCUGUUAUUCUCUUGGCAAAGAAUCCAUGAAUCUCCGAUAAAUGAACAAGAAUGAAAGGGUUGACUCAUAGGGAAACGCCGCUACGUGUAACAGAGGUUAAACGAACAGAAAUAACGGGUACAUAGGGAAACCUUUUCAGAAUUCUAUUGACGCCCGCCCUGUUCACCAGUGUACUUUACUUAUGAGGGAACUGAUUUCGUGGUGACCUGAUCUUCAGAAGAGGAUAAGACACUUAAGUCAGCUAUAUAACCUAUAGCAAGUUUCUUAAGAGUAACAGCUACACUCGGGAAGAUACCUCCUUUCGAGCAUAGAUACCUUCACUCGGACAACUAUGAUAAGAAUAAAGAAUCAAUGCUAACUACUGGGGGAGACAAGAGAAGCACGAAAGAAGAGAGAAUUGGACAAAGAGAAGAGUAUUUGAUAGCACAUAACAAGAUAGAUAACUGUAAACCUAGACGAGAGCUACCCUUUCAACAUAGGAGCAAGCUCUUACAUGUUCUAAAGAAUAAAUGCUAGUGAAGAGAAGCGAGGUUAUAAAGAAUAAAUGCUAGUGAAGAGAAGCGAGGGGUAUUUCUAGGGAAUUAGACAUUACUGGAGUUUGACAUAGGUUAAAAGAUUCAAAUAAAGGGUUGUUAGCAAGCUUGAGGUUAAAAGAUUCAAAUAAAGGGUUGUUAGCAAGCUUAAUGCUUUGAAGCCAACACGACCACUACAAUAAACUCGGGAUGCGCUCCGCAAACUGCUAUUUUCUCUCAUUGGCUCGGGUUGGGGUGCUGAUAUUCCUUCUUUCACGAAGCUACAAGGCAAUAAGGCGAAAAACGGAAUGAAUGACAAGUCGAACAGAGCAAGCAACGGGCGCAAACGGAAACCACUCAGCUCGUUCGGGAAAUGGAUUGGCUUCUUUCAGAGGGUAGGGGCUGGGGCAUUUUCUUGGCUUUACCCAAGAUCAGGAGAACGAUGACUCACUUAUUGGAUUUUGUGAGCUUAUACUAAUGAGCGAUCUCUACCAAAAGCAAUUAGAGGUUUUGAAAGCGGAUAGCAUUGUUCAUUCGUAUUGCUGAGAAAGAUCGAAACUGACUGUUCACCUCUCUCAUGAGAAUCCGACUCUAUAGUCUCAUCAGUAUUGGCGCUAAGAGAACGCUAAGAGAAAAACAACAUGAAAAACAACAUAAAUACGGCCAAGUCCUUAUUUUGUCUGAGGGUGCUAGUCGUGUGUGUUUAAGUUCGGGGUUCACUGACUUCAUAUGGAAGGAGUUGGAAAGAGCAGCAUUGCGAGAGUAUACUAACAGCAUUGGUAGGGUUCACAAUCUAAUAUAGUACGUAGUACGCAUCGGAUCGAAUAUGGAACUCAAUUACUUCUUCCGCGCGGUAUCCUCCUGCUUAGCUUCGUUAAGUCUCUGAAUGCUCUUCGUACUGCAACUCAAAGAAUUCAUUUAAGCCAGCUUUCACUAAGAGAUAUGAAUGUAAACAAGCAGAGACAGAUAGAUUACACAUAAUUUGGUAAGAUAACCUAUAGCAACUCCCCUUAUAGCGAAUUUGGACCUAGUAAGAUUGAACUCUUUCCAAAGAAAAAGAAGACUCCAUUUGAAGUGAGAGUAAAGUCGACAAGAUUAGACUCAGGAUCAGAUGUUUCAGUUGAGUCUCGUCUAGAUGUUGGUAAUUAUUGAAGAAGAGAAGAGGUGUUGCCGUGAAAAGGCGGUAAUCGAGACAAUAAGUCUUAUCAGCACUCCUUCGCGACGUAGCAUCAUAGUUUCUACUUUACUUGGCCAAUCUCUAGAAUAGAACAUUUUGCUAUCCCUAAUCCGUAAGUACGUCUGGAGCGGGAGUUCCUCAGCUGUUGGCACUAGUAAUGCCGCAUCCAGCUCUUCCUUCUUAUUAUUCUGCUCUUCCUUAACAUGUGCACUAAAUUCUAUUACCGUUGUGGACCCUUAUCCGCAUGAACUCGGAUGUUGACCCUUAUCCGCAUGAACUCGGACCCAAAGCGCCAAGUAUACUUAGCAACUACUAGACAAGACAGGCCUUUGAGCCGGAAACAAAGAACUCAAUUACAAACUAUAGGACUAAAUAAAAGAAUCAAGAAAGAAACUCGUGCUUCUAAGCAUUAAGCUACUGACUCGGGCUUACCUUACCUUAUCUAAAAGAAUGGAGCUACCACUUCUCGUAAUCAAUACAAUAAUCUCCAAUAUUAGUAGUUGGCUUAGGCUUUUAACUAGCACCAACAAAG